GACGAACGCUGGCGGCGUGCUUAACACAUGCAAGUCGAACGGAGUGGCGAACGGGUGAGUAACACGUGGGUGACCUGCCCUGCACUUCGGGAUAAGCCUGGGAAACUGGGUCUAAUACCGGAUAGUGUGGGAUGGGCCCGCGGCCUAUAGGCUUGUUGGUGGGGUAAUGGCCGACCAGGGCGGGGACGGGUAGCCGGCCUGAGAGGGUGGACGGCCACAGUGGUACUGGUACACGGCCCAGACUCCUACGUGAGGCAGCAGGGGGGAAUAUUGCACAAUUGGCGGAAGCCUGAUGCAGCGACGCCGCGUGGGGUAUGACGGCCGUCGGGUUGUAAACUCCUUUCACCAUCGACGCGGUAGAUGGAGAAGAAGCACCGGCUAACUACGUGCCAGCAGCCGCGGUAAUUC
rnacentral:rRNA from 1 species